GAGUAAGAAGCAAAAAGUCUGCACUUAGUUUCGACCUAAUUUUUGAUGGCCCCCCCCAUCCUUACUCU
rnacentral:tRNA from 1 species